rnacentral:lncRNA from 1 species
GGCAGUUUAACAGUCCUUAAACUGUGGUAGGGUGUUGCCAGUUCUGGGAUUGAAGAGUUUCGUUAUCUAUUGUUCUUUUCCUCAUGCUCUUUCCUCUUUCCUCAGGGGACUCUAUGUAGCCAGAAUGGGGACAGACAUGGGACUGAAUGUGUGAGAUACUCCCAUAUAUUGUCAUACCAGCUGUGAGAGCCAUGUGCUACCUGAAUGUGAAGGGUGUUCUUGCCAUGUGGAUAACAGAGUUGGUAGAAUCUGCACCCAUUCCAACCUUCAUCUUUUUUCAGCAUGACGCAGGACAAAGAGUGGGGACUUCAUAGUCGGACAGUGCUUGACUUAGCACAGUGCUUGACUUAGCACAGUGCUUGACUUAGCACUGUGGCUACACAAUUUAAUGUGUAAAACCUGGCUACUUUUGAGUGUUUUUAUGAGAUGUAAUAAAAAAAUACAGUGGAUUCUGCUGAUGUGUGCAAUCCAGUGAGAAAACAGGUUUGUAAAAACAUGGUGUGUAUCCAUCUA